GACGAACGCGGCGGCGUGCCUAAUACAUGCAAGUAGGACGCACAGUCUAUACCGUAGCUUGCUACACCAUAGGCUGUGAGUUGCGAACGGGUGAGUAACGCGUAGGUAACCUGCCUAUUAGAGGGGGAUAACUAUUGGAAACGAUAGCUAAUACCGCAUAACAGUAUGUAACACAUGUUAGAUGCUUGAAAGAUGCAAUUGCAUCGCUAGUAGAUGGACCUGCGUUGUAUUAGCUAGUAGGUAGGGUAAAGGCCUACCUAGGCAACGAUACAUAGCCGACCUGAGAGGGUGAUCGGCCACACUGGGACUGAGACCACGGCCCAGACUCCUACGGGAGGCAGCAGUAGGGAAUUUUUCGGCAAUGGGGGGAACCCUGACCGAGCAACGCCGCGCGA
rnacentral:rRNA from 1 species